rnacentral:rRNA from 1 species
UUGUCUCAAAGAUUAAGCCAUGCAUGUCUCAGUACAAGCCGCAUUAAGGUGAAACCGCGAAAGGCUCAUUAAAUCAGUUAUGGUUCCUUAGAUCGUACCCACACUUACUUGGAUAACUGUGGUAAUUCUAGAGCUAAUACAUGCAAACAGAGCUCCGACCGGAGACGGGAGGAGUGCUUUUAUUAGAUCAAAACCAAUCGGCGGCGGGCGCGUCCGCGCGUCCGUUCGCCGCUCAACCUGGUGACUCUGAAUAACUUCGUGCUGAUCGCACGGUCUCGCACCGGCGACGCAUCUUUCAAAUGUCUGCCUUAUCAACUGUCGAUGGUAGGUUCUGCGCCUACCAUGGUCGUAACGGGUAACGGGGAAUCAGGGUUCGAUUCCGGAGAGGGAGCCUGAGAAACGGCUACCACAUCCAAGGAAGGCAGCAGGCGCGCAAAUUACCCACUCCCGGCACGGGGAGGUAGUGACGAAAAAUAACGAUACGGGACUCAUCCGAGGCCCCGUAAUCGGAAUGAGUACACUUUAAAUCCUUUAACGAUGAUCAAUUGGAGGGCAAGCCUGGUGCCAGCAGCCGCGGUAAUUCCAGUUCCAAUAGCGUA